ensembl:misc_RNA 7SK 7SK RNA
GAAUGUGAGGGUGAUGUGUCUGUGACAUCUAUCACCCCAUUGACCACCAGGGACUAGGCUGAUCUGGCAGGCUAGGUGGAUGUCCCCUUUCCCUCACAAUUUCAUGUGCAUUCCUCCCAAAGCUAAGGCCUUGGAUGAAGAGGAAGACCUUUUCUGACAGAGGAGGGCUAUUCUUUGGUCAAGGGCAUAUGAGUAGAACCUCUAAACAAAUUCUUGAGGUCCUAUUGUAGGAGAAUGUAGGGUAGUCAAGCUUCCAAGACUCCAGGCACAUUCAAAUGAGAUUUUGCAUGUGUCAGCCUUUUAUAAAAUUU